AAGCUUCUCUGGUUACGGACUACAUUUCCCAGAGGGCCUUGGGGGCACAGUCCAAUGAGGAGCGAGCCGGGUGGCUGGCUGAGGGGCGUGCUUCAUGCUCGCGGGAUUUUUAAAAAUGGUUUCUCCUGGACCUUAUCCCAACUGCACCUGAGCCCUUGUUUCACCUCCUGAUGUGCUGGGUGUGGUUAGGCCUCGAGCCGGGAGCUAUUUGCCUCCCAGGAGGAAGCCAGAGCAGGGUUCCGCGGGGAAUGGCGGUGAGGGAGCCACUCGGGACGGGGAGGCCCUAAAAUGAAGAAGCUUCUGCCUGAGGAUUCGGGAGCGGCGAGCAGGGAAGUGGGAGUGUGUGUAUGUGUGUGUGUGAAUGAGCCAGAGGCUGCCUGGUGGGGCCCUGCCGUGGCCCAGUGACUGAGAUGAUUGUCUUCGUCUGUGGGGUAAUGCGAACAAGCCCCGUUCCCCUAGCUGUGAUGCAUGCGGGGUUGACGCGGCCGGGCUUUGUCCCCAUAAACUGUGACACAGGUGUGUGUAGACGUCUAUGAGGGCCAUAGCGCCGGGCUGUAAGGGCACCUGUAGGGGUGACGCAGCCGGGCUGUGUCUCUGCACCUCCGCUCUGUGCGAGGUCAAUGUUGGUGGGGUCUGCAGAGGUGGCACGGCCAGGACGGGUCUCCGUGUCUCUGAAAUGUGCCUUUGCACUUCUGUCAGGUUGACAGGGACAGUCAGUGUCUCUCUGGUGUGAGCGUCUGUGGGUGUGAAAGGGCCAGCGAGUGUGCGGCUGUGACUGGUCGGGAUCGGGCCUGGAUGCAUGGCCUUUUGAGUGAGCACAGGUGUGUGCGACCAUGUCACCUGUCCUUCUAGUGUCUCCAUUGCUUCCUGUGCCUUCGCCUUCCAGCCAUGUGGUACCUGCUAGGGAGCAGUGGUCCCAAAGUGACGUGAGAGGCUCGACGCUGUUGUGAAAAUGACCAAGAAGAAGGCUUCACAAGUCACGAGAUGGCAAUUUUGGAGCCAGAAGUGCUCUCCAUGCACACUACCUGACGACAAGAGGAAGUAACCUCAAGAAUAGAAUUCCUUUUGGGGAAGAAAGAGCUGGCCUUCAGGAAAAGCAUCCCGGAGGAGGAAGAAGUGUUAUAUGUCCUAAAGUAAGGUUUCAGGGAGGCCUCAGGAGCUUUUACUCCACUUUACUUGGAAGAUUUUGCAAGAUCUCACUCACCAUGGCCAAGACAGCACCAAGACAUGAGGGAUCUGCCUCCGUGACCCAAACACCUCCCACCAGGCCCCACCUCCAGCACUGGGGAUGACAGUUCAACUUGAGAUUUAGACGGGGCGAAUAUUCAAGCAAUAUCGCCCACGGAUGUCGAGUUAUAACCAAAUAAUUCUGAAUUCACAGGUUCCAUGUGUAGGUAAAUACAAUUUGUUUUCUAACUUGUAUUUUUCUAAUAAUAUUUGAUGCAAAGGGAAGACCAAUAGGGUAAGGCGAAUUAAUGCUUGUCUGCUGGGCCAUCAUGGCUUGAAGGACAAGUUCAGAGGUAAAAUUCACACUCCCCUCAGACAUAAAAGGAAGCAGCCUCAAAGCAACUGUCGGUAUGUACAGGGCAUCACUUGGCGUUUUGGCCAUUUUUCCAGUCAGUGCUGCAGCACAUGUGGAAAUAUGUGUCUGUGUGUGCAUGUACAUUGGCAUCCGCAGGGGUAACCGGGACCUGGCGUGUGAGUAGAAGACGCACUUGCGUGGGUGUGUGUGGGGUUGAUGUGCCAGCUCUGUCCCCAUAAUUGUGACAGGUGUGCGAGUAUCUUGGGGGCAAUGGGACCCAUGCAGGGUGACCAUCCUUAUAGAGGGAGGUCAGCUACACAGUCUAUAACUCCAGUUAAUACAACGUAUACCCCAGGAAUCUCUGAAACACCCUGAUCCCGGUGCCCUCUGACUUCUGAUUGUUAUAGAUAUGGCCUGAGGGCAGGUGUGCCUUAUAAGGUAUUUUCUAAUGUAGGCUGUGCACCUAGAAAGACCUUAGCUUCUCAUUCUUAUCCUCCUCUUUCCCCUAAACCAACAUCCUUCUGAAAAAGCACCCCUUGAGAGGAAGAAUCAUUUACCCAUCUUAAAAUCAAGGUUCA